AGGCGAGCUGACAAAAGGGCGGCGCGCGUCUGAACCGCCAUUGGGGCCCACAGCUCCCUUAGGACUAGCUCUGGAUCCUCCCGGCGGGCCCCAGUGCAGAGAGCCCACGGCCAUCCAGUGCCUACAAUGGGGACCUCAAUGGACUUCUGGUCCCAGACCCGCUCUGCUCAGGUGAUGGUACCUCAGCAAACAAGACUGGUCUUCGGACCAUGCCACCCAUUAACCUGCAAGAGAAGCAGGUCAUCUGUCUCUCAGGAGAUGAUAGCUCCACCUGCAUUGGGAUUUUGGCCAAAGAGGUGGAGAUUGUGGCUAGCAGUGACUCUAGCAUUUCAAGCAAGGCCCGGGGAAGCAACAAGGUAAAAAUUCAGCCUGUCGCCAAGUAUGACUGGGAACAGAAGUACUACUAUGGCAACCUGAUUGCUGUGUCUAACUCCUUCUUGGCCUAUGCCAUUCGGGCUGCCAACAAUGGCUCUGCCAUGGUGCGGGUGAUCAGCGUCAGCACUUCGGAGCGGACCUUGCUCAAGGGCUUCACAGGCAGUGUGGCUGAUCUGGCUUUCGCGCACCUCAACUCUCCACAGCUGGCCUGCCUGGAUGAGGCAGGCAACCUGUUCGUGUGGCGCUUGGCUCUGGUUAAUGGCAAAAUUCAAGAAGAGAUCUUGGUCCAUAUUCGGCAGCCAGAGGGCACGCCACUGAACCACUUUCGCAGGAUCAUCUGGUGCCCCUUCAUCCCUGAGGAGAGCGAAGACUGCUGCGAGGAGAGCAGCCCGACAGUGGCCCUGCUGCAUGAAGACCGGGCUGAGGUGUGGGACCUGGACAUGCUCCGCUCCAGCCACAGUACCUGGCCUGUGGAUGUCAGCCAGAUCAAGCAGGGCUUCAUUGUGGUAAAAGGUCAUAGCACGUGCCUCAGUGAAGGAGCCCUCUCUCCUGAUGGGACUGUGCUGGCUACUGCGAGCCACGAUGGCUAUGUCAAGUUCUGGCAGAUCUACAUUGAGGGGCAAGAUGAGCCAAGGUGUCUGCACGAGUGGAAACCUCAUGAUGGGCGGCCCCUCUCCUGCCUCCUGUUCUGUGACAACCAUAAGAAACAAGAUCCUGAUGUCCCUUUCUGGAGGUUCCUUAUUACUGGUGCUGACCAGAACCGAGAGUUAAAGAUGUGGUGUACAGUAUCCUGGACUUGCCUGCAGACUAUUCGCUUCUCCCCAGAUAUCUUCAGUUCAGUGAGUGUGCCCCCUAGCCUCAAGGUUUGCUUGGACCUCUCAGCAGAAUACCUGAUUCUCAGCGAUGUGCAACGGAAGGUCCUCUAUGUGAUGGAGCUGCUGCAAAACCAGGAGGAGGGCCACGCCUGCUUCAGCUCCAUCUCGGAGUUCCUGCUCACCCACCCUGUGCUGAGCUUUGGUAUCCAGGUUGUGAGUCGCUGCCGGCUACGGCACACUGAGGUGCUGCCUGCCGAAGAGGAAAAUGACAGCCUGGGUGCUGAUGGUAUCCAUGGAGCCGGUGCCAUGGAGUCUGCGGCUGGUGUGCUCAUCAAGCUCUUUUGUGUGCAUACUAAGGCACUGCAAGAUGUGCAGAUCCGCUUCCAGCCACAGCUGAACCCUGAUGUGGUGGCCCCACUGCCCACCCACACUGCCCAUGAGGACUUUACAUUUGGAGAGUCUCGGCCCGAACUGGGCUCUGAGGGCCUGGGGUCAGCCGCUCACGGCUCCCAGCCUGACCUCCGACGAAUUGUGGAGCUGCCUGCACCCGCCGACUUCCUCAGUCUGAGCAGUGAGACCAAGCCCAAGUUGAUGACACCUGACGCCUUCAUGACACCUAGCGCCUCCUUGCAGCAGGUACUCUCCCAGGGUAGGGGGACCUGGGAAUGCCUCAGCCACAGGCCACAGGUCUUAUUUCCUGCAUCUCCCCAGAUCACUGCCUCUCCCAGCAGCAGCAGCAGCGGUAGCAGCAGCAGCAGCAGCAGUAGCAGCAGCUCCCUUACAGCUGUGUCUGCCAUGAGCAGCACCUCAGCUGUGGACCCCUCCUUGACCAGGCCACCUGAGGAGCUGACCUUGAGCCCCAAGCUGCAGCUGGAUGGCAGCCUGACAAUGAGCAGCAGUGGCAGCCUUCAGGCAAGCCCGCGUGGCCUCCUGCCUGGCCUGCUCCCAGCCCCAGCUGACAAACUGACUCCCAAGGGGCCGGGCCAGGUGUGUGACUGGGUGUGUGUGUGAAGUGUGGGGAGCAGGUGGGCGGCAGCAGGGAAGGUGGGUGGUGGGCUCCUCCCAGCCCCCUGCUGCUGAUCCUGCUCUACCCGACAUGGUCCAUGUUUCCCUGAGGUCAUUUCACCCUCCUGUGUUUCCUGGUGGGUGUCUCCUCAGCCUCCCUGUCCCCACCUCCUCUUCUUGGUUGUGGCCUCGUUUUUGACCUGUAUCCCCACUUCCCUGCUGCCCUGUCUCUCAUUACUACUAAUACCAAUGCCU
rnacentral:sRNA from 1 species